rnacentral:rRNA from 1 species
AGAGUUUGAUUAUGGCUCAGAUUGAACGCUGGCGGAAUGCUUUACACAUGCAAGUCGAACGGCAGCACGGGAGCUUGCUCCUGGUGGCGAGUGGCGAACGGGUGAGUAAUGCGUCGGAACGUACCGAGUAAUGGGGGAUAACGCAGCGAAAGCUGUGCUAAUACCGCAUACGCCCUGAGGGGGAAAGUGGGGGAUCGCAAGACCUCACGUUAUUCGAGCGGCCGACGUCUGAUUAGCUAGUUGGUGGGGUAAAGGCUCACCAAGGCGACGAUCAGUAGCGGGUCUGAGAGGAUGAUCCGUCACACUGGAACUGAGACACGGUCCAGACUCCUACGGGAGGCAGCAGUGGGGAAUUUUGGACAAUGGGGGCAACCCUGAUCCAGCCAUUCCGCGUGAGUGAAGAAGGCCUUCGGGUUGUAAAGCUCUUUCAGCCGGAACGAAACGGUACGCACUAAUAUUGUGUGCUAAUGACGGUACCGGCAGAAGAAGCACCGGCUAACUACGUGCCAGCAGCCGCGGUAAUACGUAGGGUGCGAGCGUUAAUCGGAAUUACUGGGCGUAAAGCGUGCGCAGGCGGAUUGUUAAGCAAGAUGUGAAAUCCCCGGGCUUAACCUGGGAAUGGCAUUUUGAACUGGCAGUCUAGAGUGUGUCAGAGGGGGGUGGAAUUCCACGUGUAGCAGUGAAAUGCGUAGAUAUGUGGAGGAACACCAAUGGCGAAGGCAGCCCCCUGGGAUAACACUGACGCUCAUGUACGAAAGCGUGGGUAGCAAACAGGAUUAGAUACCCUGGUAGUCCACGCCCUAAACGAUGUCAACUGGUUGUUGGGGGAGUGAAAUCCCUUAGUAACGAAGCUAACGCGUGAAGUUGACCGCCUGGGGAGUACGGUCGCAAGAUUAAAACUCAAA